GUCCACGCCGUAAACGUUGGGCGCUAGGUGUGGGGCUCAUUCCACGAGUUCCGUGCCGCAGCUAACGCAUUAAGCGCCCCGCCUGGGGAGUACGGCCGCAAGGCUAAAACUCAAAGGAAUUGACGGGGGCCCCGCACAAGCGGCGGAGCAUGUUGCUUAAUUCGAUGCAACGCGAAGAACCUUACCUAGGCUUGACAUGCACGGAAAUCUCGCAGAGAUGCGGGGUCCGUAAGGGCCGUGCACAGGUGGUGCAUGGUUGUCGU
rnacentral:rRNA from 1 species